AGGCAUUCUUUGGCAAUUCCUUCUUCAUGUUCGAUCAAUUUAUCCAUUAAAGUUUCUUUUUCAUUG
rnacentral:antisense_RNA from 1 species